rnacentral:rRNA from 1 species
UGGGGAAUAUUGCACAAUGGGGGGAACCCUGAUGCAGCGACGCCGCGUGAGCGAAGAAGUAUUUCGGUAUGUAAAGCUCUAUCAGCAGGGAAGAAAAUGACGGUACCUGACUAAGAAGCACCGGCUAAAUACGUGCCAGCAGCCGCGGUAAUACGUAUGGUGCAAGCGUUAUCCGGAUUUACUGGGUGUAAAGGGAGCGUAGACGGCUGUGCAAGUCUGAAGUGAAAGGCCGGGGCCCAACCCCGGGAGUGCUUUGGAAACUGUGCGGCUAGAGUGUCGGAGAGGCAAGUGGAAUUCCCAGUG